rnacentral:rRNA from 1 species
AGAAUCAACGCUGGCGGCGUGCCUAACACAUGCAAGUCGAACGAGAAAGUGGGAGCAAUCCCACGAGUAAAGUGGCGCACGGGUGAGUAACACGUGACUAACCUACCCUUGAGUGGGGGAUAACCUAGGGAAACCUGGGCUAAUACCGCAUAAUACCUACGGGUCAAAGGAGCAAUUCGCUUAAGGAGGGGGUCGCGGCAGAUUAGUUAGUUGGCGGGGUAAUGGCCCACCAAGACAGUGAUCUGUAUCCGGCCUGAGAGGGCGCACGGACACACUGGAACUGAAACACGGGUCCAGACUCCUACGGGAGGCAGCAGUGGGGAAUUUGCGCAAUGGGGGAAACCCUGACGCAGCAACGCCGCGUGGAGGAUGAAGCCCCUUGGGGCGUAAACUCCUUUCGAUCGGGAAGAUAAUGACGGUACCGGAAGAAGAAGCCCCGGCUAACUUCGUGCCAGCAGCCGC